rnacentral:rRNA from 1 species
UACGAGGGGGGCAAGCGUUGUCCGGAAUCAUUGGGCGUAAAGAGCGUGUAGGCGGCUCGGUAAGUCCGCUGUGAAAGUCCAGGGCUCAACCCUGGAAUGCCAGUGGAACUGUCGAGCUAGAGUCCGGAAGAGGCGAGUGGAAUUCCUGGUGUAGCGGUGAAAUGCGCAGAUAUCAGGAGGAACACCAAUGGCGAAGGCAGCUCGCUGGGACGGUACUGACGCUGAGACGCGAAGCGUGGGGAGCAAACAGG